UUUUCAUCAUUACAAUAAACUGAAGUAUUUCAGCUUUUAGCAUCUGUCCUGCUUGUUCACAUGAUGUUGGGGACCAAUUUUUCAUAAAUAUCAAGACCUCUUUCAACACUGACACAAUAGUGGGGAACUGAGGUGGGUUCUGUUGUAUUUCUUUAGUAAAUUACAUUCAUUUUAUAACCUAUUCAAUACUCAGAAACAUGAAAACAAGCCUUUUUAUUAAUUUGAAUCUGGUACAUUUUGCCUUUCAGGUUAAUGUAUUUUAGGUACUGCUUUGAGUGCAAGUUUGCAUAUUAACUGAAAGAGGUUUGAUUAGUUUUAUUCUCUUCUUUUAAAAAAUUCUUUUGCAUUGUGUGUUAGCUCUAUUAGUAAAAAGUAAAAAAUCUUCUCUGAUAACUUUCCAUUAUGUUAGAGAAGAUUCAACAAAGCCUUUAAUUUCUUUUGUCUUGCAUUGUAAUCCUGGUUAGUUAAGAAAAAAAAAUCUUCCCAGAAUAUCGUAUCUGCGUGUAACUAUAAUACUGUCAUUCAUAGUUAGAGAUAAUAUGCAGAAGUUACAGCUGUGUGAGCUAUUUAAAAAUCAAAAGCAGCACAGUCAGGAUGUCUGGAGGAGCAGUACGUAAAAGUUAUCCCUUAAGAACAUAUCCUUCUAAAGGGUAGCCAAAUAUAAUUAUUUCAUGUGGUGCUGUAUAAUUGAGAUGCCUUGGAAUUCCCCCCUCUUGUAACAGUUUUGGUCUAGCUGUUACGCUUGACAGGGUAAGGUUAAAUCUCCUUCUCCUAUCACGGGUUAGGAAAUACUUUUAGUGCUAAGAAUAGCUCAUUAAAGGUGGAUGGAAAGUCUCUUUUUCCAAUGUACAUAUUAAUUACCAUAACACUCAGUGAAUUUAUCUUUGCUAACAGAAUGACAUUGCUGUAUCAAUGAAAACUGAGUUUCUUGUUGAUUAAAACUGUCACUUGCCUGGAAUAACUAGGUCCAAUGAAGUAAAAAGGGAAGCGGGGCAAGAUUUUGUAAAAAUAUAUGGUUCUGUUCUAAGCAAAACAGCACCUAUUUCUUUUUAGAGAGAAUUUGAAUUGAACAUAGAACGUUUGAGUCAGUAAUCUCAGAUUAUUUGAUCCACUGUUGUUCUGGACCUCAUAUGACCCACUGCUGAAUUACUGGCUUUGCAGCAAUGUCACUGAUAGCAGGAGACUCAUUAGUAAGAAAACUUACUAGUGUGCUUGAACCUUAGAACUUGAGGUGAGCAGUGCCAGGGACAUCUGUGGCCUGAAGGCAGAGGCAAAACACUCCUUUUCUCCUACAAUACACAUGGAAAACUCUUAUGCUCUUGCUGCUCUCAGGACACAUGAGUGCCCCUGCAUCCCAGAACAGAGGGAACACAUAUUUUUCUGUGUUGCACCCAGCUCCUCCCUUGACCCGUUAUCAGUGGCACAUCACACAGUGAAUCAAAUCUGAAUCCCACAAUAUUUCUCCUCAUUCUGUUUCUGAGUAAGAGCAGGUAUAUGCUCGAGACUUUUUUGAUAUUUAUUGCCUCAGUUAAAGCAUAAUUAGCUUCAUGAACUAAUGAAAUGGGGAUUAACCACCUCCACUUUAGCUGAGACCCCUAUCACCUUUACGUUUCAGGCUUCUAUUUGGUUUUUCAGCUACUUCAUUUAUCGGUCAAGGAGCGGUUUAAGUCUGCAGUAUAAUAAUAUUUGAAAUUACUAGUAAAUAGCAUUUUACAACAUUAACUAGUCUGUCCUUAGCACAUCCUUUUCAGGCAGGCAAAUAAAUGUUAUUAUCCUUAUUUUACAAACACAUUGAUUAAGUGACUUGCCUAAAGGCCACACAUCAAUUUCAAUGUCAAUGCCAACAUUAGCAUAGAGAAACUUCUGCAUUGCAGUCACAGAAAAAAGUGAUCUGUAUUAUCAAGUCCACCUCCCCUCAGAAACAAGCAAUCACUUCUCAGAUGUGUAGUCUAGAUAGCGUUUACACACUUCACAUCCCCUGUAUGCCCGUAUGCUUUGUCCAUCUGUUAAGCUUCUGCUUGAUGAUGGCUCAAAAUGGUUCCCAGUAUGUCUCUAACACAGGAAGCUUUUGUAUGUGCCUCCCGGUUUCAACCCAAGGGCUGGAAAGCAUUGCCUGGAGAACCUGUGAAACUCCCACAUUGGUGGCUGAGCUUGUGGAGUCAGAGGGUGAGGGAACGAAGAGGGCCUCGUGCUGCUCUCCAAAGGACAACCUGAAGAUGAGCAAUGAUCUGAGGGAACAGCAGGGGCAGGAUUAGGAAGAAAUUAGUAAGGUCUUCCACCAUUUUAAGAGGAAUUUUUUUUGCCUCUUUAACCAACAAAAUUUUCAAUUUUUAAAUUGUGUAAAAAAGGUACAAUUCUCUUUCCUACUGCUGCUAUAGCUACUGUGUGGAAAUGGUGGUAGGUGCAUUGAUAACUUUGGAAGUGGAGUCUUCAGCUCUAAAAUGCAGUAGCAUUUUUAGCAUGUAGUCCUCAAUCUGUUGAGCUACUGGGUAAAUUGCUUCAUUUUGAAGCUCCUGCUUUUAAGUUUGGAAGGAAUUUUGGAUUUCAUCUCCAUUGUCUGGUUUAGACAGACAGACUAUGUCUGUGUUCAUCUCCUGAUUGAUGAGCAACACAAACCUUACUGCAUGCAUGUGCUAUGUAUGACAAAUGAAAGUAUAACAAGUAACAUCAUAGCAUGCAAAAAUCGGUUAAACAAUACUGAGUUUCUAAUGUUAAAAACCUGCUCUGUUUACAGACUGUUAUUUCUAAGGAAAAAUAUGUUGGUGACUAUAUUUGUUUCCCCUCCAGAGCAAGUCUUCCCUACCUGGAAAAACAAACAAAAUAGAGAAUCUUAGGACAGAACUUUUAACAGCUAAUUAAGGCCUCCGUGGGUAAGGGUGGCAUUGUUUUGUUCUGAGUUAGGUACAGUUCACAAGAUCUUUCUGACUCAACUUCUUAAUGUGACAGAAAAUCAAAAUAUUCAUAACUCUUUUGAACCACAGUAGUAUAUGUUCAUCAGCAGAUUCACGAAUCUGUCAUUAAAGCCCACGGUGUCAUUUGCCAACACCUGAAUUUGACCUAGUCAUUGAAGCUGAUACCGUGCCAAUGUCUGAAAGGAGAUACACUGAAAAAUUGUCCAGUGUUUAUGAUAGAUACUGGUAUUUCAGACCAGACUCCCAGGCGAUGAAUUAUAUUCUUAAUAAGCAUACAUGACAAAGUUAAAUUUAGAAGUAGAAUUUUAAAUAGUUGCCAAGUUUUUAACUGAAGGUCAUUUGUAUUUUUUUUUUAACCCAUGCCUAUGUAGACACUCACAGGAAAUGUGUGAACUUGCCUUCAAAAUACCUCAAAUAUUAGCCAUAUGAAUUACACGUUUACCUUUUUUCCUAGCUUUUAAAAGAUUAUUUCCUGCAGAAAACUUAACAUCAAUCAGUUUGUUGCUUGUGAGUCACCUGUAGAUUGCAGUAUCAGAAUUAUUCAAUGGAAUUAUGCCUGUCAGAAUUUUAUAUUCGCUCCAUUAUUCAUCAACAACAAAAAAUAAAGCAUCUUUCUAAACAAA